rnacentral:ribozyme from 1 species
CCAAAAACACAAAAUGAAAAGAAAGAAACAAAACACACACACAGCACCACGAGGCACAUCUUAAAGGACAUUAAACUAUUUUCUCCUAUGUGUCACGGAAGUUUCUUCCUCCCUACUUUCUUUACCUAUCUAUUCAUCUUAUAUCGUUUUAUUUAAAAAAAA